rnacentral:rRNA from 1 species
CCUACGGGUGGCAGCAGUGAGGAAUAUUGGUCAAUGGGCGCGAGCCUGAACCAGCCAAGUAGCGUGAAGGAUGACUGCCCUACGGGUUGUACACUUCUUUUAUAAAGGAAUAAGUGAGGCACGUGUGCCUUUUUGUAUGUACUUUAUGAAUAAGGAUCGGCUAACUCCGUGCCAGCAGCCGCGGUAAUACGGAGGCUCCGAUCGUUAUCCGGAUUUAUUGGGUUUAAAGGGAGCGUAGAUGGGUUGUUAAGUCAGUUGUGAAAGUUUGCGGCUCAACCGGGAAAUUGCAGGUGAUACUGACAGUCUUGAGUACAGUUGAGGUAGGCGGAAUUCGUGGUGUAGCGGUGAAAUGCUUAGAUAUCACGAAGAACUCCGAUUGCGAAGGCAGCUUACUAAACUGCCACUGACAUUGAUGCUCGAAAGUGUGGGUAGCAAACAGGAUUAGAUACCCUUGUAGUC